AGCGAUGUAGAAGUGGCAACACUUUUACAAGCAAGUGCCGAACGGGUGAGUAACGCGUAGGUAAUCUGCCUUGGAGAUUGGGACAACCAUUCGAAAGAAUGGCUAAUACCAAAUACCUUAUAUUAAUCGCAUGAUUUUUAUAAUAAAGGGGGCUUUUAGCUCUCGCUUCAAGAUGAACCUGCGUCCUAUUAGCUUGUUGGUGAGGUAGAAGCUCACCAAGGCAACGAUGGGUAGCCGGCCUGAGAGGGUGAUCGGCCACACUGGGACUGAGAUACGGCCCAGACUCCUACGGGAGGCAGCAGUAGGGAAUCUUGCGCAAUGGGCGAAAGCCUGACGCAGCGACACCGUGUGAAGGAUGAAGGUCUUCGGAUCGUAAACUUCUGUCAAUUGGGGACGAAGGUAGUAGGGUUAAUACCCCGAAUAACUGACGGUACCCAAUAAGGAAGUCUCGGCUAACUCCGUGCCAGCAGCCGCGGUAAGACGGAGGAGGCAAGCGUUGUCCGGAAUCAUUGGGCGUAAAGAGCGCGUAGGCUGUUUUUUAAGUCAUAUGUGAAAACCUCAGGCUUAACUUGAGGACUGCAUGUGAAACUGGAAAACUUGAGUGCAGUAGGGGAAAGUGGAAUUCCUGGUGUAGCGGNGAAAUGCGCAGAUAUCAGGAAGAACACCGGUAGCGAAGGCGGCUUUCUGGGCUGCUACUGACGCUGAGGCGCGAAAGCUAGGGG
rnacentral:rRNA from 1 species